CUUCAGUGCUCUGCAUGUGUUUAUAACUCUGACAAACAUCAAACAUGAUCAACAACUGUUUCUCACUCUAACUGAACCUACAACCAACAAAAAUGACUUUCAUCACCAUAUUGAUCUGGACGCUGACAGUAUUAUGUAGAGAAUCUAUUGGGCAGGUGACAGUGACUCAGACUCCCUCAGUGCUGCUCGCUCAAACUGGACGAUCAGUCACUGUAACCUGUACAUUUAACAGAGAUGCAAACUGCUGUCAUAACGGAAACCAUUUUCUUAGCUGGUACCUACAGAAACCUGGAGAAGCUCCUAAACUCCUGAUUUAUGCAGCAAUCAAUCGGGGAUCAGGAACUCCAUCUAGAUUUGCUGGCAGCAGAUCAUCUGGGAGAGAUUUUACUUUGACCAUCAGUGGAGUCCAGACUGAAGAUGCUGGACAUUAUUACUGUAUGAGUGCACACUGGAUCAAUAAUGGCCAUGUGUUCACACAGUGAUAAAGAGUCGUACAAAAACCUCCGUCAGUCAGAGUCACAGAGACUGAACUGA